UGCCAGCAGCCGCGGUAAGACGUAGGUGGCGAGCGUUAUUCGGAUUUAUUGGGCGUAAAGGGUCCGUAGGGGGUCUGUUAAGUCUGGUGUGAAAGCCCACGGCUCAACCGUGGAACUGCACUGGAAACUGAUAGACUAGAGCAUCGGAGAGGAGAGUGGAAUUCCUGGUGUAGCGGUGGAAUGCGUAGAUAUCAGGAGGAACACCGAUGGCGAAGGCAGCUCUCUGGACGAUUGCUGACCCUGAGGGACGAAAGCCAGGUCAGCGAACAGGAUUAGAUA
rnacentral:rRNA from 1 species